AUUUCGAACUGGCGUGUAUAAUUGUGAGAGCAAAAGUGACAUAUUUUAUUUGUGAUGGUAUUUCUGGAGUCGUUUUAGAUUUUUGAUUGGAAUGGCAUCCUACCGAGGUGACAAAAUGCUUUCUGCUCUUGGUAUUCGUUUAAAGAAGAACAGCUCUGGAUCGGAAUGGACACUGCUUGAUACAAUAUCCGCGGCAAACGAAAAUAUAAUAUGUUCUUAUUUUAUGUUUGUUAUACCUAAAUAAAUUUUUAGAUAACACGCCGGUUACGAAUAUAGAAAAUGAUGUUAACACUACUGAAGAUAAUUUUGAUGCGUUUUGCAUCAGACAAAGAAAAUAAACUUAAAAAAAA